rnacentral:rRNA from 1 species
UGGCGGCGUGGAUUAGGCAUGCAAGUCGAACGAUCCCUUUCGCAAGAGGGGGUAUAGUGGCAAACGGGUGAGUAACGCGUGGGUAAUUUACCUUCGGGUUCGGAACAACCCGCCGAAAGGCGGGCUAAUACCGGAUAAGACUACGAUUUCCAAGUUAUUGUAGUUAACGGCGGGGAUCCUGAAAAUGGACCUGUCGCCUGAAGAUAAGCCCGCGUCCUAUCAGCUAGUUGGUGGGGUAAAAGCCUACCAAGGCGAAGACGGGUAGCUGGUCUGAGAGGAUGGUCAGCCACACUGGGACUGAGACACUGCCCAGACUCCUACGGGAGGCUGCAGUCGAGAAUCUUUUGCAAUGCCCGCAAGGGUGACAAUGCGACGCCGCGUGAGCGAUGAAGGCCUUCGGGUUGUAAAGCUCUGUCAGCUGGGACGAAUAGCAGAGUGUUAAUAUCACUUUGUCUGACGGUACCAGCAGAGGAAGCCACGGUUAACUCCGUG